rnacentral:rRNA from 1 species
UAUAUCGGAACGUACCCUAGAGUGGGGGAUAACGUAGCGAAAGUUACGCUAAUACCGCAUACGAUCUACGGAUGAAAGCAGGGGACCGCAAGGCCUUGCGCUCAUGGAGCGGCCGAUAUCUGAUUAGCUAGUUGGUAGGGUAAAAGCCUACCAAGGCAUCGAUCAGUAGCUGGUCUGAGAGGACGACCAGCCACACUGGGACUGAGACACGGCCCAG